GGGCCGUUAGCUCAGCGGUUAGAGCAGGGGACUCAUAAUCCCUUGGUCGUAGGUUCGAAUCCUACACGGCCCACCA
rnacentral:tRNA from 3 species